GAACCGGACAAACGUUUAUUCGGAAUUAUUGGGCUUAAAGGGUGCGUAGGCGGCGCGGUAAUUGAGGUGUGAAAGCCCACGACUCAAUCGUGGAAUUGCGCUUCAUACUGCCGUGCUAGAGGGAGACAGAGGUAAGCGGAACUGAUGGUGGAGCGGUGAAAUGCGUUGAUAUUAUCAGGAACACCGGUGGCGAAGGCGGCUUACUGGGUCUCUUCUGACGCUGAGGCACGAAAGCUAGGGUAGCGAACGGGGGAUUAGAUACCCCGGUAGUCCUAGCUGUAAACGAUGAGCACUUGGUUGGGGAACCCUCCCCGAUAGUUUCCCCGACCGCAGCGAAAGUGUUAAGUGCUCCGCCUGGGGGAGUAUGGUCGCAAGGCUG
rnacentral:rRNA from 1 species